AAGUUUAAUCGUUCAACUUGUUGUGCGAUAGCUUAGAUGGCUGUCCAGUGGGUUGUUAAAACGUUCGAUUGGUGCAAUUGUUGCUAGUAUGCGCUAAGGUAUUCGCUGCUUGUAUAUGCUUUAAACUGUGUUUGAAGAGGACUACAUCACUUGUUGGUGUAGAACCCUUCAUCAUGUGUGUGGUAUAUUCGUAGAGAAUAUCAAUUCGGUGUGUGUAUGGAUCAUUACGGUUUUCUGAGCUGUGGCUUUCAUUGGUUCUUGGUGGUUUUUUACAUUUGACAGUGGCAUGCCACUUUGUCUUAUGUGUCCAAGGCUGUCGAUCAAUGUUCAUGUCACGGUUAGUGAUCUAUAUUCUUAGCGUUAAAGUCGAUCACCUAUCCGACCCGUCUUGAAACACGGACCAAGGAGUUUAGCAUGUGCGCGAGUCAUUGGGUGGUAAACCUAUAGGCGYAAUGAAAGURAAGUAUACAUCUUUGAUGUAUCGAUAUGGGAUUCAUGCAGAUGUCUCAUUUAGCGAUCUGGCGCGUGCUGACUGGGGCAUUCAUUGUUACUGCAUGACGCACCAUAGCCCCGUUUAUGUUUAGCAUUGCUAACUAAGCGGAGGUAGAGCGUAUWUGCUAAGACCCGAAAGAUGGUGAACUAUGCCUGAACAGGGCGAAGCCAGAGGAAACUCUGG
rnacentral:rRNA from 1 species